GUCAUAAGACCCGCAUCUCAGAAGUACUGCCCCAUACUACCCAGCGGGAUUGAAUACUAUACAGAGAGGCCAAGAAGAAUCUGAACAGAUAAUACCUCUAGAACGGAAGUCAUGAGUUGUGUGCCUAAGGUAUUGGCAGUACUGUUGGGGUUAGCUGGCCCAAUACAAAUUAGGCUAAACUGGUUGAGCCUAAAGACCUCUCUACUGAGCCUGAACAAAUGUCUGAUGGGUGACCUUUUUGAUGUUAGAGGGCCAGAAACUCCACCUCCAGAUCCUGCUAACGCUGGCAUUUUCUGAACAUGUAGAGACAUGCAGAUGGCUUGAACCUGUGCAGAUCACUGAAGAACUUCUUCAGACCUUCUAACCAGUCACGACCUCCCACACCUCACCUCAUCUCUAACAGUUUUCCCAUAAAGAUCUUUUUCUUCCUGAUGUGAACAAGUUGGAUUUGAGAUAUAUUUCUUGAUCUUUUUACUUGGGCACUUUGUUAAUAAACUUUUCCUCUGCUGCAAAGA